GAUGAACGCUGGCUGCGUACUUAACACAUGCAAGUCGAGCGAGUGAGUUCUUCGGAACGAUCUAGCGGCGGACGGGUGAGUAACACGUGGGCAACCUGCCUCAUAGAGGGGGAUAGCCUCCUGAAAGGGAGAUUAAUACCGCAUAAAAUUAUCGAGUGGCAUCACAUGAUAAUCAAAGGAGUAAUCCGCUAUGAGAUGGGCCCGCGGCGCAUUAGCUAGUUGGUGAGGUAACGGCUCACCAAGGCGACGAUGCGUAGCCGACCUGAGAGGGUGAUCGGCCACCUUGGGACUGAGACACGGCCCAGACUCCUACGGGAGGCAGCAGUGGGGAAUAUUGCACAAUGGGGGAAACCCUGAUGCAGCAACGCCGCGUGAGUGAUGAAGGUCUUCGGAUUGUAAAGCUCUGUCUUUGGGGACGAUAAUGACGGUACCCAAGGAGGAAGCCACGGCUAACUACGUGCCAGCCGCCGCCGUAA
rnacentral:rRNA from 1 species